AGGACAAACGCUGGCGGCGUGCAUAACACAUGCAAGUCGAACGAGCAUAGCAAUAUGCGAGUGGCGGACGGGUGAGGAACACGUGGAUAACCGACCUGUUACUGGGGAAUACCCGUGGGAAACCACGGCUAAUACCGCAUACGUUCGAGAGAAGAAAGCCUUCGGGCGGUAACAGACGGGUCUGCGGUCGAUUAGCUAGAUGGUGCGGUAACGGCGCACCAUGGCGACGAUCGAUAGCUGGUCUGAGAGGAUGAUCAGCCACAUUGGGAUUGAGAACGGCCCAAAUCCCUACGGGGAGCAGCAGUGAGGAAUAUUCGGCAAUGGGCGCAAGCCUGACCGAGCGACGCCGCGUGGGGAUGACGCGUUUCGGCGUGUAAACUCCUUUCUGGGGACGAGAAGUGGACGGUACCCCAGGAACUCAGCCUCGGCUAACUACGUGCCAGCAGCCGC
rnacentral:rRNA from 1 species